rnacentral:rRNA from 1 species
UACGUAGGGGGCAAGCGUUGUCCGGAAUCAUUGGGCGUAAAGCGCGUGUAGGCGGUUCGGUAAGUCUGCUGUGAAAGUCCAGGGCUCAACCCUGGGAUGCCGGUGGAUACUGUGAGACUUGAGUGCUGUAGAGGCAGGUAGAAUAUCGGGUGUAGCGGUGGAAUGCGUAGAGAUCCGAUAGAAGACCGGUGGCGAAGGCGGCUCACUGGCCCGAUACUGACGCUGAGGUGCGAAAGCGUGGGGAGCAAACAGG